GCCUACGGGGGGCAGCAGUGGGGAAUAUUGGGCAAUGGGCGCAAGCCUGACCCAGCAACGCCGCGUGAAGGAAGAAGGCUUUCGGGUUGUAAACUUCUUUUAUCAGGGACGAAGCAAGUGACGGUACCUGAUGAACAAGCCACGGCUAACUACGUGCCAGCAGCCGCGGUAAUACGUAGGUGGCAAGCGUUAUCCGGAUUUACUGGGUGUAAAGGGCGUGUAGGCGGGAGUGCAAGUCAGAUGUGAAAACUAUGGGCUCAACCCCGUACUGCCGUUGAAACUGCAUCCCUUGAGUGCGCGAGAAG
rnacentral:rRNA from 1 species